GUAGUAGCAAAUACUCAAAUGAGAACUUUGAGGACUGAAGUGGGGAAAGGUUUCAUGUGAAUAGCAGUUGGACAUGGGUUAGUUGGCCCUAAGAGAUAGGGAAGCUCUGUUUGAAAGUGCGCACUUGUACGCUACCCCUCAAAAGGGAAGCUGGUUAACAUUCCGGCACCUGGAUGUAGAUUCUCCAUGGCAACGUAAUUGAAUGCGGAGACGCCGGCGGGGGCCCUGGGAAGAGUUCUCUUUUCUUCUUAACAGCUCAUCACCCUGAAAUCAAUUUGUCUGGAGCUAGGGUUUGACGGCCGGCAGAGCCCCGCACCUUUACGGGGUCCGGUGCGCUUCUAAUGGCCCUUGAAAAUCUGCGGGAAGGAUUAGUUUUCACGCCAGGUCAUACUCAUACCCACAGCGGGUGUCCAAGGUGAAAAGCCUCUAGUU
rnacentral:ncRNA from 1 species